rnacentral:rRNA from 1 species
GAUGAACGCUAGCUACAGGCUUAACACAUGCAAGUCGAGGGGCAGCAUGGUCUUAGCUUGCUAAGGCCGAUGGCGACCGGCCACGGGUGAGUAACACGUAUCCAACCUGCCGUCUACUCUUGGACAGCCUUCUGAAAGGAAGAUUAAUACAAGAUGGCAUCAUGAGUUCACAUGUUCACAUGAUUAAAGGUAUUCCGGUAGACGAUGGGGAUGCGUUCCAUUAGAUAGUAGGCGGGGUAACGGCCCACCUAGUCUUCGAUGGAUAGGGGUUCUGAGAGGAAGGUCCCCCACAUUGGAACUGAGACACGGUCCAAACUCCUACGGGAGGCAGCAGUGAGGAAUAUUGGUCAAUGGGCGAGAGCCUGAACCAGCCAAGUAGCGUGAAGGAUGACUGCCCUAUGGGUUGUAAACUUCUUUUAUAAAGGAAUAAAGUCGGGUAUGUAUACCCGUUUGCAUGUACUUUAUGAAUAAGGAUCGGCUAACUCCGUG